rfam:Meloidogyne hapla strain VW9 Mh10g200708_Contig896, whole genome shotgun sequence.
CAAACGGCCCUCUUUAGGGCCACAAAAAUAAUAAGUGGAACGAGA